UACAGCCAUAUCAUGUUAAAACACCGGUUCCCGUAUGAUCACCAAAGUUAAGCACCUGUUCAGUACAUAGAUGGGUGACUGCUUGGGAAUACCAAGUGCUGUAAG